rnacentral:rRNA from 1 species
GCAUAUCAAUAAGCGGAGGAAAAGAAACUAACAAGGAUUCCCUUAGUAACUGCGAGUGAAGUGGGAAAAGCUCAAAUUUAAAAUCUGGUAGUUUUUGACUGCCCGAGUUGUAAUCUAGAGAAGUGCUAUCUGCGCUGGACCAUGUUUAAGUCUUCUGGAAUGGAGCAUCAUGGAGGGUGAGAAUCCCGUCUUUGACAUGGACUACCAGGGCUUUGUGAUGUGCUCUCAAAGAGUCGAGUUGUUUGGGAAUGCAGCUCUAAAUGGGUGGUAAAUUCCAUCUAAAGCUAAAUAUUGGCGAGAGACCGAUAGUGAACAAGUACCGUGAGGGAAAGAUGAAAAGAACUUUGGAAAGAGAGUUAAACAGUACGUGAAAUUGUUGAAAGGGAAACGCUUGAAGUCAGUCACAUUGAUUAGGGAUCAACCUUGCUUUUGCUUGGUGUAUUUUCUAGUUGAUGGGUCAGCAUCAAUUUUGACCAGUAGAAAAAGGCUAAAAGAAUGUGGCAUUUUCGAAUGUGUUAUAGCUUUCAGUCAUAUAUAUUGGUUGGAAUUGAGGAACUCAGCAUGCCGCAAGGCCGGAUAUUAAAUCACGUUCAUGCUUAGGAUGCUGGCAUAAUGGCUUUAAUUGACCCGUCUUGAAACACGGACCA